AAAGGGGCUAGUUGAGGCAGAAGCUGGCUAAGGCCCUACAGCUGGCUAAAUUAUAACCCAGCCCCAAGAAAGAGGUUUGAGGCUCUUGCUAUGAGGAGACUGGCUGGCUGUUUCAUUAAUGUAUAUCCUGCUGCCCCAGGAGGGACUGUUUGAAGCAUAACCUCAGCUCCAGGAGGAGGUCUCCUGAAAUGGGACAAAGAACUGACGAGGAGUCUUAUAAGGAGCCAGAGCAAGGUGACUUUUGUUAGUUCCGCCAGAAUUCUGUGUAGCAUCCAUCAUCAUACCAUCUGAGACACCAAUCCUUCAAACACUUAUGCAUGUUCCUAACAUUAUGCAUGACCUAUUGAGGUCCCUUCCAGUCCCACGAUUCUAUGAUUCUAUAGCUUCAAUGACUGCCACUGCCACAGUAGCUGGUGAUGCUGUGAUGAAGAUGAGACAAACAAGAAGGAAGAAUUGAUGAUGCAGAAAGUGCAUAAAAAUUGCAAGGUGCUGCCGGCAUUCGCUGACCAGCUCCACGUGGUCGAGUGGCAUUUCUGGGCCCAUGAAAUGAGGAUGAAGUGGUGGGGCUAUAUUGUGAGGCAGAUCUGAGAUGAGCAGUAGUUGCUGUAGAACUUUCAAAUACAAAGGCCACUUUCCUGGGGUUUUUUUGUUUAGCUCGCCUUAGCCCUCCAUUGCAGCGACAUCCGAAUGAGAGCUGCUUUGACCGUAGAAAAGAGGGUGGUGAUUGUGCUCUAGAAGUUUGCAAUCCCAGGCUGCUAUCAGUCCAUGGUGGAGGUGGUUGUCAUCCAGGUGUACGUGGCUAUUAAGCGUGUCCUGCUGCAUAGUAUUGUGAUUCUGGGCAAUGUGCAGGAAAUAAUAAAGGGACUUGAAGCAAUGGACUUCCUGAACUGUGGUGGGGUGAUAGGCUACAUAGCCUGAUUCUGCUGCCUGCUCCCCCUGACCUUAGUGCUUAGUACAUAAACAGAAAGGGAUACUUGUGCCUGGUUAUGCAAGCACUUGUAUAUUACCAGAGGGUGUUUCACUGACAUUAAUGAUGGCUGGUCAGGGAAGACUCAUGACGCUCACAUCUUUAGGAAUACAGGACUUCUUGAAAAGAUGUAAGCAGUGAUACUUAUUCUGUACCAGCACAAUCACAUUAUCACCACUGGAAUGCUGUGACAUUCUCCAGAGUACAAUCUGGACUGCUGGACAGCUGUGUUCCCUCAAUUCUCCAAGCUGGGGUGCCUUUUACACUGCUUUGCUUUGAGAGAACCUCUCCUGGCCUGCUCACAGGCAGCCUCUAGUAUGUAAAUUACCCCCAGCUGAGUUAUAGGAGUGUUCCUAGCCAGCCAUUCCAGAAUUAUAUUGCAGAACAAUACCAGCAAAUUCUCAGUACCAGACUUGUCCCCAGAAAUGUGCAUCUUGUACUGCCCCGCACCCUCUGGGAUAAUACAAGCUCAUAGAAAAUGAAAUGACAGACCAACAGAAAAUGAUAUGCACAAACCCUCUUAUCUCACAUGGAGAUUCCAAACACACACAAACAAGAUUAUUAACUACAGAAAGAUAAAUUUUAAGUGAUUACAAAUAAUGAGGCAUAAAAGUCACAAUUGGUUACAAAGAAAUAAAAGGUAAAACACAAACUAAUACCUAACUUAACAAGCUAAGUGAACCUGAAGCAAAAAGGUUUUUCUCACCACAUGCUCACAGCAGUCUGGCUGGAUUCCUUCAGCCGGGACCACUCCCCCAGUUCAAUGAUGCUUCAUUUGUCUUUCAAAUGUUGUCGAUGCCAUGAGUCAAAAUGAGGGGUGCGGUGUGUUUUGUGUCCUCUGUUCUCCCUUCUUAUAGCAUUUCUCUUAUUUGAGAAUUAUCUUCAGCUGGGGUUCAGGUGACAGCAAGUCUGUUAGCCAAGAUGUAAAUUUCUCACUCACACUCUUCUUUCUGCCAAAAAUGGCCACUUAACCAGGUGAUAGUCCAUUUGAUUUUGUUGACACUUGGCUGAGGCAUCAGUUUGCCUUUUGUCUCUGAGGAACUGGUGUCUGUCUGCUUUUCUAAACUUGGAGCAUGUCUCAACAAUGUCAUACAGUAUAAUCUUAUAACUUUACAUACAGUGUUGCCAUACACAUUUUACCAUGACAACAAUGAUCAGCAAAUUAUGAGGUUUCAAAUGAUAUGUCACAAGGCAUACUUUGUACAGGAUUUAUCAUAGUUUUGUAAAAAGGAUGAACACCAGGGUACAGACUGUGACAAAUGCCACUAGUGAUUCUGGGGAAGCUGCCCUACGCUUUGUAUCCCUGGCUCAUGAAACCAUAUACCAGAUACUGGACAGCAUCAAGGAACGAUUUAAUUACUUUCUGAGCAGGUGCAGGAUAACUGUUGAAUGUGCAUGUGGCAGAUUGAAAAGACACUGGCAAUUGUUCAUGAAUAGGGGGAUCUUAGUGAGGCAAACAUUCCUGUUUUGCUUCUAUUGAUUUCAAUGGAAGUUAGGAGCCUAAAAACCCUUAAGUAGCUGGGCCAAAGGUGCUUCUUGAUAGCAAGUUAUCUUUAAUGAAACAAACUAAUCAUCUCCAGAUUGUUGACUGAUAACAUGUUUUUAAAUAGUUAUGGUACAGUUUAACUUAGUUUAGAUUAUAGCUGGGAACAAGUUGUACCAUGUUUACUUAAUAGAUGAACAUAGGUCAGCUGUACUUGUCUGGGUGUCUUGAG